GAGGCAUGACUUUAGGAAGAGAGAUAAAUCGAGGCGUUGGAUCUUCGAGGCAUCGGAUCUUCGAUCUCUUCGAUCUCCAUCAAUUCUUCGGUUGUUUGAUCUGAAAAAUGUUGUUCUACUCUUGAUUUGAGCGUAUAUCUUCCUGAUUGUUCGAAUCCCUAUGGUCUAAAUCGAUCUAGGGCUCAAGUCCUUGUGUGGAAAACUCUUCUCUUUCAUCAGAUUGAGCAGCAACAAUGGUGAAUCGAUUUAUCUAGGGUUUCGAGUACGAUGUUAGUGUCUCUGAUCAUGUACGGGACAAGCAGGUGGCGUUGGAUGUGGAUCGUUGGAAACAGUGAGUAGAAGCUCAACGAUGCAGAGAAAAAUUGUGUAUUGAAGGUGGAAGCAACGGUGGGCUUCUUAUUGGGGCUUGCAUUAAUCAGAGACCUAAUCUUUUUGGUUGUGCUCUUGCUCAUGUUGGUGUUAUGGAUAUGCUUAGAUUUCACAAAUUCACUAUAGGUCAUAGAUGGACAUGUGACUUUGGCUGCUCAGAGAAGGAGGAAGAGUUCCAUUGGCUUAUCAGGUGAGUGAAUUUAUUUUCAUUGAAUUAUCUGCCUGUAUAAUGUUCUUACUUUGAAAUUAUAAUUUUUUAGAUGGAGUAUUUUUUUUCUGUUUGAUGUAAAAUAUGUUAAUUAAUCUCGAGUAAGUUAUUUACUUCUGUUAUUGUUUGGCGUUCACCUCUUAAUCACAAAUUAUUCCUCAUUUCCAACUUUCAAAUUACAUUUUAGUAAUACUAAAAUGCAGUUGACUUGCAUACUU